CCAUAUCAUGUAGAAACACCGGUUCCCAUAUGAUCACUGAAGUUAAGCAACAUUGAGUCAGUACCUAGAUGGGUGACCACUUAGGAAUACUAGGUACUGUAAG